UAAGCGGCACAUGGUUUACAAAGCAUCAUAUCAUACUAUAUAAUAGACCCCACAAUUCAAGAAUGGACAGCCGGUACCAAAGAUUUUGUAGUAUAAUAUAUAAAAUAAAAUAAAAAUAUAUUGUAAUAUUUACGGGGUCUUUUUCGAUUUUUGAAAGUCAAACGAGUUUUUCCUUAAUCACAAUUUUAAUAGAUACCUUUUAAUAUUUUGAAUUGACAAUUUUUGUGGCUUAGUAAUAUUUUUUAUGUAGUUUUUAAAUAUGUAAUUUUAUUUUAAAACAAUUAAAGAUUUAAUAUUUGAAUUUACGGUCAAAUUAAAGUAUUUGAUUUUCAAAAUCCAAAGGACACAUAAAUUGGGACAAAGGGAGUACAAUAUUAUGUAUAUAAACCUCUUCAAUUGUUUCAAACUUCUCAGCCUCUUCAAUAUCAAAGCUCUAUCAAUCUUUAAUUGUCACUCUUUAAAUUUUCUUAGAUGCCAAGAAGGGACAAUCUUGAACUUUGAUAUUUUUGCUAUAAUGGCACUGUCUAGAGUUGUUGUUGGACUGGCCAUUUUUGUUGUGGCAUUGGUCACUAUUAUUCCCUUUGGACAAGCUCAAGGACUUGCUCCUGCUCCUGCACCUGCCAGUGAUGGAACAACAGUUGAUCAAGGGAUUGCAUAUGUGCUGAUGCUGGUGGCUUUGGUUCUUACCUAUCUUAUCCACCCUAUGGAUGCUUCUACCUACAUCUUCUUCUAAAAAUUAUAUAGAAUUAUGUCUAUUUUUUUUUAUUUUUGUUUAUCUUUUAGUUUUGCAAUCUGAGAGGGAAUUAGAAAGUUCAAACACGGAGUUGUAUUAACAAAUUCAUUCAUGUCUUAUUGGUAAUAACACGAAAUUAUAUA